GAUGAACGCUGGCGGCGUGCCUAAUACAUGCAAGUCGAGCGAACGGACGAGAAGCUUGCUUCUCUGAUGUUAGCGGCGGACGGGUGAGUAACACGUGGAUAACCUACCUAUAAGACUGGGAUAACUUCGGGAAACCGGAGCUAAUACCGGAUAAUAUUUUGAACCGCAUGGUUCAAAAGUGAAAGACGGUUUUGCUGUCACUUAUAGAUGGAUCCGCGCUGCAUUAGCUAGUUGGUAAGGUAACGGCUUACCAAGGCAACGAUGCAUAGCCGACCUGAGAGGGUGAUCGGCCACACUGGAACUGAGACACGGUCCAGACUCCUACGGGAGGCAGCAGUAGGGAAUCUUCCGCAAUGGGCGAAAGCCUGACGGAGCAACGCCGCGUGAGUGAUGGAGGUCUUCGGAUCGUAAAACUCUGUUAUUAGGGAAGAACAUAUGUGUAAGUAACUAUGCACAUCUUGACGGUACCUAAUCAGAAAGCCACGGCUAACUACGUG
rnacentral:rRNA from 1 species